CAGUAGCCGCGGUAAUACGUAGGGUGCAAGCGUUAAUCGGAAUUACUGGGCGUAAAGCGUGCGCAGGCGGUUAUAUAAGUCAGAUGUGAAAUCCCCGGGCUCAACCUGGGAACUGCAUUUGAGGCUGUAUGGCUAGAGUGUGUCAGAGGGGGGUAGAAUUCCACGUGUAGCAGUGAAAUGCGUAGAUAUGUGGAGGAAUACCGAUGGCGAAGGCAGCCCCCUGGGACAACACUGACGCUGAGGCACGAAAGCGUGGGGAGCAAACAGGAUUAGAUACCCCAUAGUCCCUGUCUCUUAUACC
rnacentral:rRNA from 1 species